rnacentral:rRNA from 1 species
CAGCAGCCGCGGUAAGACAGAGGGUGCGAGCGUUAAUCGGAUUUACUGGGCGUAAAGCGUGCGUAGGCGGCUAAUUGAGUCGGAUGUGAAAUCCCCGAGCUUAACUUGGGAAUUGCAUUCGAUACUGGUUAGCUAGAGUGUGGGAGAGGAUGGUAGAAUUCCAGGUGUAGCGGUGAAAUGCGUAGAGAUCUGGAGGAAUACCGAUGGCGAAGGCAGCCAUCUGGCCUAACACUGACGCUGAGGUACGAAAGCAUGGGGAGCAAACAGGAUUAGAGACCCCGGUAGUCCCUGUCUCUUAUAC